rnacentral:lncRNA from 1 species
AAGGGGGGGCAGAAGAGGGGGCAUAUGGGAUGGGGCCUUGGGCACAAGGGGAGGGGCCGGGGGUAGCCCGUGAGCACUUUUCUAUAUUCCGCUGUCCUGCAAAACAGUGUUAAGAACUGAGAGGGGGUUUUGAUAACACGGCUUUGUCUUUUUGUGGAAAAAGUCUGAAGAGCUUAAGACCGUUUGGCUCAGCAGAGUCCUUACUUUUGCAAAACAAGGUCAUGCUGUCUCGUUAAUACCAGCUCAACCCAAAGCCAUGCGCACACCAACUUCAGCUAACAGCUAAAUCAUAUUGAAUCCUUUCACCAGUGUUAAAUCUGUAUCUACAGUGUCACCCAGCUCUCCCCACUCCCAGGCCCAGACCCAGACCCAGACCCAGACCCUAGAGAGCUGUUCCAGCAUCCACCCCAAUGGCUGCUCUGGAAGACAUUUCUUAAUGGCUGUUUUUACAGCUCAGUAAUGCAGACGGUGUUUCUUUAAAAAUGCAUCACAAACAGUGAAAGUGAAAGCUUCCGAGACUUGUUGAGGAGAAGCGAACACACUGGCUCAGUUGCCAUCUGACUGUAGAGCCGUGAGGAUGUCUAUCCUGUUCCAGGUGUUUGUAGAAGGGGUGGAGGGCAGAAAAAGCAUCAUAGAUGUGGCAAACAAAGAGCAGGAAUUCAACAAUAUGACCACUGACAAAUUCAUGGAGAUGGUGGCAGCCAAACUCCUGAAGAAGCCAGGUUACCAACAGUUUAGUUUGCUGUACGCUAACCAACAAAUGGAAAGAGGGAAGAAAUUCUCAGAUUAUUUUAUCAGAAACAAGUCUACCUUCGUCAUGGUUAUACAGCUGCCUGGAGGAGGGAGUAACAUGUUGACUGAAUGAAGGACUGUUUUCACAUAGAAAAUGAUGUGCAUCGGGGCCUACCCUGGACUGUGGUGGGUUCCUGCAUAGGCAUGGAUUUGGUUAUCAUUUGCCUGGAAAGAAUCCAGAGAGGGGAGUGGUGAUGAGCCUCAAAGGUCACUGUCACACCCAGAGCUCAGCACAGCAGAGGGAACACCCGGACAUCACUGCCAGUCCACCAAGCCACCAGGUUGAUAAACAUGAGGAUUCUGCUGUUUUCCUUUCCCUUGUGUGUUGCUUUCCAUCCCCUGCUAUCUUCCGCCUGUCCUAUCUCUCUCUCUCUGUGUCUUUGAGCUGAUCCUGUAAUCAACUGCAAGGCAUGACACCAGCACAAUGGGAUCAGAGAGCCACUCAGUGAAGGACUGGUGAAAAAAAGGACCUGCCCAGACCAGCCAGAUGAUGACCAGGAGCGGGAAAGUGAGUCAGGGUCCGGAACAACAGCUAUCCUGACCGCCUUGCCAGUCCAGAGAGCAUCUGUCCAUGACAGACCAGCUGUCUUGUGUCCUGAAAACACCAACAAAAAGCUGUAUUUCUCCCACCUUAUUAUCUGUUCUCCUCUUCCACUUCCCUCUGCAUCCGUUUUGUUAAAAGCAGGGAAAGUAACCACAGAACUCACAGCUCUCAACAAAAGAACGAACUGUCUUCCCCGCUAAGAAAUGAGCCAGAAUGAGAGACUCUCACCAAUAUCCUCUCUGAAAAAAGGAACGUCAAGUUUUGCUUACGAUUGUUUUGCUUAACGCUCACUUUCAAAAUACUUUGUCUUGUUUUGAAUUAUUUUUUUGUGUAUCCUGAUCAAUAAAUUUCCAAGCUGCAGCGUGAGGAUUCGAUUG